UGGCUGUGAUGACUCCUUAGGACACCUUUGGAUUAAACAUGAAAAUAACACGUGAAAAUCUGAGCUAC